UAAGAGGAUGCAGGAAGACAGUGUUGAACGCUGGGGGUGAUUGGUAGCUUCGCCUAAUUUAACAAGACCAUUGAAAAUUAAAUCAAUUACAUCGAAACUGGUUUGUUCGGUGGCCAUUACGACAAGUUUGUGUGGGUACCAGGAGGCGAGAGAGAUAAAGAAGAUAGAUAGAAUAAAGGCCAUUUAGACAUACACAAUAAUCCAGAAGAAUAGACAGAUGCACGUAGACAGACAGACAGACAGACAGACAAAUAGAUAGAUAGAUAAACUCAUGAGUCAGUCUCUAAACUCAAGUCAGAUUUAUAGUAAAAAUUUCGACCCUCAUUCACACACAUUGAUAACCUUGUCUCAACAUCAGUGUAAUUGAAUGAUACAUUUCUUAAUUGGUUAGUUUAUACGAGUAAGAGUUAACCAAUGACUGUAGACUCUUAGCCAUGCUAUUUGUACUGAUCUACUGUGGGUAUUUACCAGUCAUAUUAAACAUUUAUACCAACGCCCCGACCUGUACCGUGGCCACCGUGUGUGACGCUCAAGACACUCUUCUCCCCGUGCUACAGAUGACGAUGACCAGCACUAGAAUGGAGAUGUGUUAAGGUUGUUAAGCUGUGUUACUUGGUGGUGAGCUGGAUUCACCCAAUACUGCCAGGCACUCAAGAGGAGGUCCAGUGUGUUGUCAAGGUACCCGAUGUGGAUGAUGGAGGCCUCUGGUUCGACUCCCGGAUUGACUGAAGACGUGUUGAACUGGAUGAGGUAGAAACGGACAAUACCUCCCCAGGGAGACUGAGAGCCAUAACUUGGUGUCCAGAUGACGAAGCAUCGACAAGAUGGACAAGAGAAACGAUCAAGAGUACAAAAAUAUGAAUAUGCCCUGAAUAAGUCAGUCUGCCCGACAUGACAGGAAGUUGUAUGGUGUAGAAAUAAGUGUUGGUUAGAUACGUUCAUAGAAACACUAAAACUGAUUAUAACAGUGUAUUGAAAGUUUAUUUACUAACGACAGGCACUGUAGGAGUGAGGGAAGGACAAGCAAUAAUGUGUAGGACUAAGGAGACUUGUGGUGAUGCGCAGGAGGGAUGGAAAGACAAGCAGUGAUUUGUAGGAGUGAGGGAAGACUUACUGUGACAUGUAGGAGCGAGGGACGGACAUAAUGUGCUGUGUAGGAGUGAGGAAAGGACUCACUGUGAUGUGUAGAAGUGACAGGAGGACUUAGUGUGUUUGUAGGCGUGAAGGAAGGAUGCACUAAGAUGUGUAGGUGUAGGAGUGACGGAAGGACUUGUUGACCUACUGAAAUGUGAGGUGAUGUGAAGGAGUGCAGGGAGGUCUUAUUGUGAUGUGAAGGAAUGAGAAGGAGUUACUGACCUAUUAAGGACUUGUUGACCGACUGAAGAGUGAGGAAUCGACUUAGAGUAAUGUGUAGAAUUGACGGAAGGAAUUAUUAAGCAACUGGGCUGUAGGAAUGAAGGAAGGACUUACUGUGAUGUGUAGGAGUGAAGGAAGGACUCACUGUGAUGUGUAGGAGGGAG